rnacentral:rRNA from 1 species
CCUACGGGAGGCAGCAGUGGGGGAUAUUGCACAAUGGGGGGAACCCUGAUGCAGCGACGCCGCGUGGGUGAAGAAGCGCCUCGGCGCGUAAAGCCCUGUCAGCAGGGAAGAAAAUGACGGUACCUGGGGAGGAAGCUCCGGCUAACUACGUGCCAGCAGACGCGGUAAUACGUAGGGAGCGAGCGUUGUCCGGAAUUACUGGGUGUAAAGGGAGCGUAGGCGGGACUGCAAGUUGGGUGUAAAAUCUACCGGCACAACCGGUAGCCGCACUCAAAACUGCAGUUCUUGAGUGAAGUAGAGGCAGGCGGAAUUCCGAGUGUAGCGGUGAAAUGCGUAGAUAUUAGGAGGAACACCAGUGGCGAAGGCGGCCUGCUGGGCUUUUACUGACGCUGAGGCUCGAAAGUGUGGGGAGCAAACAGGAUUAGAUACCCCGGUAGUG